AACGAACGCUGGCGGCAUGCCUAACACAUGCAAGUCGAACGAAGCCUUCGGGCUUAGUGGCGCACGGGUGCGUAACACGUGGGAAUCUGCCCUUAGGUACGGAAUAACUCAGGGAAACUUGAGCUAAUACCGUAUGAUGUCUUCGGACCAAAGAUUUAUCGCCUAAGGAUGAGCCCGCGUCGGAUUAGCUAGUUGGUGGGGUAAAGGCCUACCAAGGCGACGAUCCGUAGCUGGUCUGAGAGGAUGAUCAGCCACACUGGGGCUGAGACACGGCCCAGACUCCUACGGGAGGCAGCAGUGGGGAAUAUUGGACAAUGGGCGAAAGCCUGAUCCAGCAAUGCCGCGUGAGUGAAGAAGGCCUUCGGGUUGUAAAGCUCUUUUACCCGGGAAGAUAACGACUGUACCGGGAGAAUAAGCCCCGGCUAACUCCGUGCCAGCCGCCGCAGUAA
rnacentral:rRNA from 1 species